UACGUAGGGGGCAAGCGUUGUCCGGAAUUAUUGGGCGUAAAGCGCGUGUAGGCGGCUUGGUAAGUCUGGUGUGAAACCUUGGGGCUUAACCCCAAGCCUGCACUGGAUACUGCCUCGCUAGAGUCCGGGAGGGGAGAGCGGAAUUCCCAGUGUAGCGGUGAAAUGCGCAGAUAUUGGGAAGAACACCAGUGGCGAAGGCGGCUCUCUGGAACGGUACUGACGCUGAGACGCGAAAGCGUGGGGAGCGAACAGG
rnacentral:rRNA from 1 species